CUACCGGCGUCGAGAGGCGGCGGGAUGGCGGUGCAGAAGUCAGCAGAGGCCGUAGUAGGUGGGUGGUUUGCCACUGAAGGGC
rnacentral:ncRNA from 1 species